GCAAAAGAGAAGUUGCUGUUGAAGCACUGGUUCUAUUAUCACGCCUCUCCAGCCCUUUGGAGUCCCGGCCUCCAGCUUUUGAAACCGUCCCCGGGGCAACAGAGUCCCUUGCUCAGAUGUCGUUCGGUAUCUGGGACUGGGAGGGGUCCUGGACCACACGCAUUCUCACUCUGUGAUUUUGCUUAUCCCCCAGAUCACCAUCUGAGUCAUGACUUCCCGUCGUUUGUCUUCAGUGAUCUGGUUGGUGCAAACGUAUGAGGUGACAAUACAGAACAAACAGCAGGAGAAAAUAGACGUGCUCAAAACUGGGUGAUUGAUUUGAAAACAACAGAGAAAGAACUAUUAAUUAAACACUUGCUGAGCAUGUGAAUAGAUCACGGGCUCCAAGACCUGCUGGUACUGAGUUGGGGUGGCAAUUAUUCCUGUACAAGCACGUGUUUCUGCAGCUGUGACACACACGUGCAAGAAAGCAGGCCCAGGGCUUGGGAGUUCUCUCCAUUUUACCAUUUAUGCCCUAUUAAAAUAUUAUUAAAUGUUAUUAAAACAUUGUUGAAUCCCAGGCUGGAGGCAAAUGUUU
rnacentral:lncRNA from 1 species